rnacentral:tRNA from 1 species
UUUAAUGAGGUGUAUUAGCAUUUUACAUUUUGGUUGUAAAGGUGGCUAGCUGCCCAUUAAUU